rnacentral:piRNA from 1 species
AAGAGGAGCCAAGUCUGUGACAGGA